rnacentral:rRNA from 1 species
GGUUAAGUUAGAAAGGGCGCACGGUGGAUGCCUUGACACUAGGAGUCGAUGAAGGACGGGACUAACGCCGAUAUGCUUCGGGGAGCUGUAAGUAAGCUUUGAUCCGAAGAUUUCCGAAUGGGGAAACCCACCAUACGUAAUGGUAUGGUAUCCUUAUCUGAAUACAUAGGGUAAGGAAGACAGACCCAGGGAACUGAAACAUCUAAGUACCUGGAGGAAGAGAAAGCAAAUGCGAUUUCCUGAGUAGCGGCGAGCGAAACGGAACAUAGCCCAAACCAAGAGGCUUGCCUCUUGGGGUUGUAGGACAUUCUAUACGGAGUUACAAAGGAACGAGGUAGACGAAGCGACCUGGAAAGGUCCGUCGUAGAGGGUAACAACCCCGUAGUCGAAACUUCGUUCUCUCUUGAAUGUAUCCUGAGUACGGCGGAACACGUGAAAUUCCGUCGGAAUCUGGGAGGACCAUCUCCCAAGGCUAAAUACUCCCUAGUGAUCGAUAGUGAACCAGUACCGUGAGGGAAAGGUGAAAAGCACCCCGGAAGGGGAGUGAAAGAGAUCCUGAAACCGUGUGCCUACAAAUAGUCAGAGCCCGUUAACGGGUGAUGGCGUGCCUUUUGUAGAAUGAACCGGCGAGUUACGAUCCCGUGCGAGGUUAAGCUGAAGAGGCGGAGCCGCAGCGAAAGCGAGUCUGAAUAGGGCGUUUAGUACGUGGUCGUAGACCCGAAACCAGGUGAUCUACCCAUGUCCAGGGUGAAGUUCAGGUAACACUGAAUGGAGGCCCGAACCCACGCACGUUGAAAAGUGCGGGGAUGAGGUGUGGGUAGCGGAGAAAUUCCAAUCGAACCUGGAGAUAGCUGGUUCUCCCCGAAAUAGCUUUAGGGCUAGCCUUAAGUGUAAGAGUCUUGGAGGUAGAGCACUGAUUGGACUAGGGGUCCUCAUCGGAUUACCGAAUUCAGUCAAACUCCGAAUGCCAAUGACUUAUCCUUAGGAGUCAGACUGCGAGUGAUAAGAUCCGUAGUCAAAAGGGAAACAGCCCAGACCGCCAGCUAAGGUCCCAAAGUGUGUAUUAAGUGGAAAAGGAUGUGGAGUUGCUUAGACAACUAGGAUGUUGGCUUAGAAGCAGCCACCAUUUAAAGAGUGCGUAAUAGCUCACUAGUCGAGUGACUCUGCGCCGAAAAUGUACCGGGGCUAAAUACACCACCGAAGCUGCGGAUUGAUACCAAUGGUAUCAGUGGUAGGGGAGCGUUCUAAGGACAGUGAAGUCAGACCGGAAGGACUGGUGGAGUGCUUAGAAGUGAGAAUGCCGGUAUGAGUAGCGAAAGACGGGUGAGAAUCCCGUCCACCGAAUGCCUAAGGUUUCCUGAGGAAGGCUCGUCCGCUCAGGGUUAGUCAGGACCUAAGCCGAGGCCGACAGGCGUAGGCGAUGGACAACAGGUUGAUAUUCCUGUACCACCUCUUUAUCGUUUGAGCAAUGGAGGGACGCAGAAGGAUAGAAGAAGCGUGCGAUUGGUUGUGCACGUCCAAGCAGUUAGGCUGAUAAGUAGGCAAAUCCGCUUAUCGUAAAGGCUGAGCUGUGAUGGGGAAGCUCCUUAUGGAGCGAAGUCUUUGAUUCCCCGCUGCCAAGAAAAGCUUCUAGCGAGAUAAAAGGUGCCUGUACCGCAAACCGACACAGGUAGGCGAGGAGAGAAUCCUAAGGUGUGCGAGAGAACUCUGGUUAAGGAACUCGGCAAAAUGACCCCGUAACUUCGGGAGAAGGGGUGCUUUCUUAACGGAAAGCCGCAGUGAAUAGGCCCAAGCGACUGUUUAGCAAAAACACAGCUCUCUGCGAAGCCGUAAGGCGAAGUAUAGGGGGUGACACCUGCCCGGUGCUGGAAGGUUAAGGAGAGGGGUUAGCGUAAGCGAAGCUCUGAACUGAAGCCCCAGUAAACGGCGGCCGUAACUAUAACGGUCCUAAGGUAGCGAAAUUCCUUGUCGGGUAAGUUCCGACCCGCACGAAAGGUGUAACGAUUUGGGCACUGUCUCAACCAGAGACUCGGUGAAAUUAUAGUACCUGUGAAGAUGCAGGUUACCCGCGACAGGACGGAAAGACCCCGUGGAGCUUUACUGUAGCCUGAUAUUGAAUUUUGGUACAGUUUGUACAGGAUAGGCGGGAGCCUUUGAAACCGGAGCGCUAGCUUCGGUGGAGGCGCUGGUGGGAUACCGCCCUGACUGUAUUGAAAUUCUAACCUACGGGUCUUAUCGACCCGGGAGACAGUGUCAGGUGGGCAGUUUGACUGGGGCGGUCGCCUCCUAAAGUGUAACGGAGGCGCCCAAAGGUUCCCUCAGAAUGGUUGGAAAUCAUUCGUAGAGUGCAAAGGCAUAAGGGAGCUUGACUGCGAGACCUACAAGUCGAGCAGGGACGAAAGUCGGGCUUAGUGAUCCGGUGGUUCCGCAUGGAAGGGCCAUCGCUCAACGGAUAAAAGCUACCCCGGGGAUAACAGGCUUAUCUCCCCCAAGAGUCCACAUCGACGGGGAGGUUUGGCACCUCGAUGUCGGCUCAUCGCAUCCUGGGGCUGUAGUCGGUCCCAAGGGUUGGGCUGUUCGCCCAUUAAAGCGGUACGCGAGCUGGGUUCAGAACGUCGUGAGACAGUUCGGUCCCUAUCCGUCGUGGGCGUAGGAAAUUUGAGAGGAGCUGUCCUUAGUACGAGAGGACCGGGAUGGACGCACCGCUGGUGUACCAGUUGUUCUGCCAAGGGCAUAGCUGGGUAGCUAUGUGCGGAAGGGAUAAGUGCUGAAAGCAUCUAAGCAUGAAGCCCCCCUCAAGAUGAGAUUUCCCAUAGCGUAAGCUAGUAAGAUUCCUGAAAGAUGAUCAGGUUGAUAGGUUCGAGGUGGAAGCAUGGUGACAUGUGGAGCUGACGAAUACUAAUAGAUCGAGGACUUAACCAU